GACGAACGCUGGCGGCGUGCUUAACACAUGCAAGUCGAACGGAAAGGCCCUGCUUUUGUGGGGUGCUCGAGUGGCGAACGGGUGAGUAACACGUGAGUAACCUGCCCUUGACUUUGGGAUAACUUCAGGAAACUGGGGCUAAUACCGGAUAGGAGCUCCUGCUGCAUGGUGGGGGUUGGAAAGUUUCGGCGGUUGGGGAUGGACUCGCGGCUUAUCAGCUUGUUGGUGGGGUAGUGGCUUACCAAGGGUUUGAAGGGUAGCCGGCCUGGGUGGGUGGACGGCGUCAUUGGGACUGCGAUAGGGACCAGACUCCUACGGGACGCAACAGUCGGAAAUCUUACACAGUGGGGCGACGCGUGAUGCAAAAACGCCGGGUGCGGGAAGACCGCUUUCGGGUUGUAAACCGCUUUCGCCUGUGACGAAGAGUUAGUGACGGUAAUGGGUAAAGAAGCCACGGCUAACUACGUG
rnacentral:rRNA from 1 species